AUAUGAUAGGUGGUGCAUGGCCGUUCUUAGUUCGUGGAGUGAUCUGUCUGCUUAAUUGCGUUUCAAAUUUUUAACCGAGACCGGGUUUUGGUUUGGCUAGUGGUCCUACGAUGACUGUGAACUGUCAUGUCUUCGGAUGUACGACUAUCGGUCUAGGAUCACAUGACUUGCCCCUGGGACUCUUUUGAACGCAACGGACGUGAUUGCAACCCCUUGUUGAGAUUAGAGAUAGUCUCGAUAUUCACUGGCCAAACUGGCUGCUUUAUGCAGUCUUGUUGAAUGG
rnacentral:rRNA from 1 species